UACGGAGGGGGCAAGCGUUAUUCGGAAUUAUUGGGCGUAAAGGGCGCGUAGGCGGCUAGAUGUGUCAAAGGUGAAAUCCCUCGGCUCAACUGAGGAACUGCCUUUGAAACUGUCUGGCUUGAGGCCGGGAGAGGGUAGCGGAAUUCCCAGUGUAGCGGUGAAACGCGUAGAUAUUGGGAGGAACACCAGUGGCGAAGGCGGCUACCUGGACCGGUUCUGACGCUGAGGCGCGAAAGCGUGGGUAGCAAACAGG
rnacentral:rRNA from 1 species